UACGUAGGGGGCUAGCGUUGUCCGGAAUCAUUGGGCGUAAAGCGCGUGUAGGCGGUCCGGUAAGUCCGCUGUGAAAGUCGGGGGCUCAACCCUCGAAUGCCGGUGGAUACUGUCGGGCUAGAGUGCGGAAGAGGCGAGUGGAAUUCCUGGUGUAGCGGUGAAAUGCGCAGAUAUCAGGAGGAACACCAAUUGCGAAGGCAGCUCGCUGGGACGUAACUGACGCUGAGGCGCGAAAGCGUGGGGAGCAAACAGG
rnacentral:rRNA from 1 species